GUGCUGGCUUUGGCAGCACAUUUACUAACACUGGAACCAUACAGAGAAGGUUAGCACAGCCCCUGUGCAAGGAUGACAUGCAAAUCCGUGAAGCGUUCCAUAUUAAA